AUGGCUCUGAACGAACUUUAUUUAACUCUCUGCAAACUGGAAACGAUUUAUCCGGAGGCUGCAUUCAUUGUAGCUGGGGAUUUUAACAAGGCUAAUCUGAAAACAAGACUCCCCAAAUUUUAUCAGCAUAUCGAUUGCGCAACCAGGGGAGGAAAGACCUUGGAUCAUUGUUACUCUAACUUCCGCGACGCAUAUAAGGCCCUGCCCCGCCCCCCUUUCGGAAAAGCUGACCACGACUCCAUUUUGUUGAUCCCUGCCUACAGACAGAAACUAAAACAAGAGGCUCCCACGCUGAGGUCUGUCCAACGCUGGUCCGACCAAGCUGACUCCACACUCCAAGACUGCUUCCAUCACGUGGACUGGGAGAUGUUUCGUAUUGCGUCAGAUAACAACAUUGACGAAUACGCUGAUUCGGUGUGCGAGUUCAUUAGAACGUGCGUUGAAGAUGUCGUUCCCGUAGCAACGAUUAAAACAUUCCCUAACCAGAAACCGUGGAUUGAUGGCAGCAUUCGUGUGAAACUGAAAGCGCGAACCACUGCUUUUAAUCAGGGCAAGGUGUCUGGUAACAUGACCGAAUACAAACAGUGCAGCUAUUCCCUCCGCAAGGCUAUCAAACAAGCUAAGCGCCAGUACAGAGACAAAGUAGAAUCUCAAUUCAACGGCUCAGACACAAGAGGCAUGUGGCAGGGUCUACAGUCAAUCACGGACUACAGGAAGAAAUCCAGCCCAGUCACGGACCAGGAUGUCUUGCUCCCAGGCAGACUAAAUAACUUUUUUGCCCGCUUUGAGGACAAUACAGUGCCACUGACACGGCCUGCAACGAAAACAUGCGGUCUCUCCUUCACUGCAGUCGAGGUGAGUAAGACAUUUAAACGUGUUAACCCUCGCAAGGCUGCAGGCCCAGACGGCAUCCCCAGCCGCGCCCUCAGAGCAUGCGCAGACCAGCUGGCCGGUGUGUUUACGGACAUAUUCAAUCAAUCCCUAUACCAGUCUGCUGUUCCCACAUGCUUCAAGAGGGCCACCAUUGUUCCUGUUCCCAAGAAAGCUAAGGUAACUGAGCUAAACGACUACCGCCCCGUAGCACUCACUUCCGUCAUCAUGAAGUGCUUUGAGAGACUAUUCAAGGACCAUAUCACCUCCACCCUACCU
rnacentral:lncRNA from 13 species